CGACAACAACAGCCUCAGUUUCAUGGCCAAAACUCUCAAAUCUUCAGGACAGAGUGAAGAAACAUGCCUCCCUCCAGCCCUGCAUUUCAUACCACCCAAAACCCAUCAACAAGAAUCCAUUCAUGAAGUUCAUAUGGUACUAUUUCCUGUCAUGGAUGAUCUUUUAACCAAAACCCAUCUCUCUCCUUGCGACAUUGAUAUUCUUAUUGUUAAUUGCAGUGGCUUUUGCCCUUCUCCUUCCCUGUCAUCCAUAGUCAUCAACAAAUAUUCCAUGAGAAGUGAUAUUAAAAGCUAUAACCUCUCUGGAAUGGGGUGCAGUGCAAGUGCUGUUGCCAUUCAUUUAGCUGAAAAUCUUCUUCAAGUACACGAAAACUCAAAUGUUGUUGUUCUUAGUACAGAAAUUCUAUCAAACGGUUGGUAUGCAGGAAAGGAACACUCCAGACUAAUCCUCAAUUGCUACUUCCGUAUGGGCGGUGCGGCUAUUUUACUCACCAACAGAAAAGAGGCGAAACUUUUUUCAAAAUAUAAACUAUUUAAAACCCUUAGAACACAGACAUCCUACGAUGAUAGAAGUUACCUUUCAGCCAUACGCGAAGAGGACAAGGAAGGAAAACUCGGAGUCUCUGUAACAAGAGAUACGCUUCAGGUUUUCCCCGAAACACUCCGUAUCAACAUAACCCUUCUGGGUUCUUCAAUAUUGCCGCUGUCUGAGAAACUCCGGU
rnacentral:lncRNA from 1 species